rnacentral:rRNA from 1 species
UACAGAGGUGGCAAGCGUUGUUCGGAAUUACUGGGCGUAAAGGGCGCGUAGGCGGUUCUGUAAGUCCCGCGUGAAAUCCCCCCGGCUCAACUGGGGAACUGCGCGGGAAACUGUGGGGCUUGAGUUCGGGAGAGGGAAGCGGAAUUCCGGGUGUAGCGGUGAAAUGCGUAGAUAUCCGGAGGAACACCGGUGGCGAAGGCAGCCCCCUGGGCUGACACUGACGCUCAGGCACGAAAGCGUGGGGAGCAAACAGG